rnacentral:lncRNA from 1 species
GAUACGCAUAAAAAAGGUGAUGAGACUCCAAAUUUUUUUCCUUUAGAAUCUUUCUGUUCUAUUUACAGGAGUAUAUUGGAUGCAAGGGAAACUAAUGGAUAUCAUGAGGAGACAAAAAAUGCCCAAGUCUGCAAGAACACGUUGCAGGUUCGUCGUUACUCAGGAUGACUCUUCAUGGACAGGAGGAGACUAUUCUGGGAAAAACAGAGAGGGGAGCAGAUGGAUUGCAAACUGUAUUGUGUGAGGAAGUACCUGCAUCAAGUGAUAUCACAAACUUAUUCAUGUAUCUAAGAAACUCCGAUGUCUGUCUAGCCCUAGACUACUACAGAUGUGAUGAGUGUAUAAAUACAUUGAUUGUAAUUGAAUGGAAUGCAAUUCAGUUAAAUGCAAUUGAUACUGGGAAAGCAGAAUCACUGUGUGGUUAAUGGGUCAAACUACCUUUGAAAAGUCAUUUCGAUUCAAAUUCAAUUUAAUGAACAAUUAUAAAAUAUCUACUGUGUAGUGCACUGUCCUAGGAAUUGGGAGAGAUUUAAAACAAGCAAAUAAACAUUUAGAUGAGACAUUCUCUUUUCCUUGU